AGGUAGCAUAAUAAAUUGACUUUUAAUUGGGGCCUUGAAUGAAAGGUAAUAUGGAUAAUUACUGUCUUAAUUUUAUUUAUAAAAAUUUUCUUAAAAGGUGAAAAUUCCUUUAAAAUGCUUUAAAAGACGAGAAGACCCUAGGAGUUUUAAUAUUAAAUAUAUUUUGUUGGGGCGACACUACAACAUAUAAACUUGUAGAAAUAUUAAAAUAACUAAAACGAAUCUUUUUAAUCUUAUUUAAGCUACCCUAGGGAUAACAGCAUAAUUUAAUUUUAAGUUUGUGACCUCGAUGUUGGACUAGGGACUUUUAGUAUUAACAAUAUUAAAAUUUUGUUCUGUUC
rnacentral:rRNA from 1 species